rnacentral:rRNA from 1 species
AACGAACGCUGGCGGCGGGGUUUAGGCAUGCAAGUCGAGCGAGAAAGGGGCAACCCGAGUAAAGCGGCGUAAGGGUGAGUAAUAGGUAGUCUACGUAUCUUCCAGACGCGGAUAAUUUCCCGAAAGGGAUUGUAAUACGCGAUGAGACCACGCGGGAUCCGUCCUGUGGGGCCAAAGGUUCGGGAUCCUUCGGGACCGAGCGCUGGAUGAGCGGACGACCUCCGAUUAGCUAGUUGGCGGGGUAACGGCCCACCAAGGCGAUGAUCGGUAGCCGGCCUGAGAGGGUGUCCGGCCACACUGGGACUGAGACACUGCCCAGACUCCUACGGGAGGCUGCAGUCGCGAAUCAUUCACAAUGGGCGCAAGCCUGAUGAUGCCACGCCGCGUGCGGGAUGAAGGCCCUUUGGGUUGUAAACCGCUGUCAAGGAAGGGGAAACGUACGUCGCGAAUAGCGGCGUGCUUGACUGCUUUCUAAAGGAAGCCCCGGCAAAACAUGUGCCAGCAGCCGCCGUAAC